rnacentral:rRNA from 1 species
AUACGGAGGAUCCGAGCGUUAUCCGGAUUUAUUGGGUUUAAAGGGUGCGUAGGCGGCCUUUUAAGUCAGCGGUGAAAGUCUGUGGCUCAACCAUAGAAUUGCCGUUGAAACUGGGGGGCUUGAGUAUGUUUGAGGCAGGCGGAAUGCGUGGGGGAGCGGGGAAAUGCAUAGAUAUCACGCAGAACCCCGAUUGCGAAGGCAGCCUGCCAAGCCAUGACUGACGCUGAUGCACGAAAGCGUGGGGAUCAAACAGGAUUAGAUACCCUGGUAGUCCACGCAGUAAACGAUGAUCACUAGCUGUUUGCGAUACACUGUAAGCGGCACAGCGAAAGCGUUAAGUGAUCCACCUGGGGAGUACGCCGGCAACGGUGAAACUCAAAGGAAUUGACGGGG